UACAGAGGGGGCAGGCGUUAUUCGGAAUUAUUGGGCGUAAAGGGCGCGUAGGCGGCCUUCUAAGUCAGACGUGAAAUCCCUCGGCUCAACCGAGGAACUGCGUCUGAUACUGGAAGGCUUGAAUCCGGGAGAGGGAUGUGGAAUUCCAGGUGUAGCGGUGAAAUGCGUAGAUAUCUGGAGGAACACCGGUGGCGAAGGCGGCAUCCUGGACCGGUAUUGACGCUGAGGCGCGAAAGCUAGGGGAGCAAACGGG
rnacentral:rRNA from 1 species